GUUGGGGCUAUAGCUCAGUGGUAAAGUGCUUGCCUUGCAUGUGUGAGGCACUGGGUUCAAUCCUCAGCAACA
rnacentral:tRNA from 1 species